GCACCCCUGGUGCGCUCAGCGCCAGGUACUGCUGAAAAGCCGGCCUUACCCCGGUCCUGCAGACCGCUCGCUCUAGGGCCACACCCCCAGCAAGGCUUCCGCUUUUUGUUUUGUUUUGUUUAAAAUAGUAUAUACAUCCUUCAGCAUGCGCCCAAGUCCCUAGUUUGAGAUGCGUUUUCUGACAAUUAAUACACCCAAGCAAACACGCAAACCCAAGCUCAACACUCCGCAUAAAGAGUAAGGGUUCCCCUAGGCCCUCCCCGACGGUGGCGCUCGGCUAGACCUUCCUUCGGGGAUGGAAGCGCCAACUACCGCUGUUACUCAUCGUCCACUCUCAGUGAUGGAAUGGUGGUCGUUCCCAGGGUUCAACUAUCACUAAAGUACUUCCAGACACACUGCAGGACAAACACUUGUGUGGAGCACCUCUGUUUCUCGUUCAUAAAUGCCUACCCUGGAGCAGCAGGACAGGGCGAGCCAAAUGCAGACGGAUCCACUGAAACAUGCAUUCAUUCCUCUUUGGCUUCUCCCGCCCCAGGCCAUCAGGGAUGAUGGUGGAGGGUGAGGAGACAAUGGAACUCAUUAGAAAGAUAGGAAACCUCCAGCUAAAGGGCAAAAGGAAGUAUCAACCAUAUUAUCAGAAGUCAAGUCUGCCCACCUGGGGACAAGUUAAAGCCAUGUGCACUAACAAAGAAGUUACCUAUGAAACACACAGAUCCCUAUGUCAACCUGAGAAUCUCCUUCUGGUGAUGCUAUCUGCUUUGACCUGUGCAUCUGCAGUGGGGUACCCCUGGGCACGUGUAUUGGUCUUUUGUUCCUCAUCUUCCUUUGCUUCAACUUGGAUAUUGGAUGGAUCUAGCUUUACUAAUGACUCUGUGUUUAUGCCUGGACCUUGGGACUGUAAUAUUCAUUCAUCUGAAAAGGGGAUUGCAUUUAAUUCUUCCUUGGGAUUUGAAUCACUUCCCAUUUGCAUAGGACAUCAUGACAUUUGUAUUCCUACUAAAGGGCAAAUAUGGACUUUUAUUCUCUAAGAGCCCAGAACCUCUAGUCAUAUGGAUCUUUUCAAACUAAUCUCUAGGUUUUUCUGAUCAAUAUAAUAAUGUGACUAUUAUAAUCAAUAUAAUAGUGCUUACCGGGCAGAGUUUGGAUCCCUGUUCUUGGUGGCAGAGUGUUACACAACACUUUCACUAUUCUAAUAUUAUUCAUUACAUUUAUAAUUUGCUUGCUCAUAGGCUAUUCAUGCAUCAAAUGACAACUUAUUUAUAUCUCAAAUCAAAACCACACUGGAUAUCCUGUAUUUCAAAAAUAAAAAAGGAAUGCAAGGCAA